UGGAGUGAUGGGAUUCUGAGCUGU
rnacentral:piRNA from 1 species